GACAGAGGGUGCAAACGUUGCUCGGAUUUACUGGGCGUAAAGCGCGAGUAGGCGGUCUUGUAAGUCGGGUGUGAAAACCCAGGGCUCAACCCUGGCAGUGCACACGAUACUGCGAGACUGGGGUACUGAAGAGGAGAGCGGAAUUCUCGGUGUAGAGGUGAAAUUCGUAGAUAUCGGGAGGAACACCAGUGGCGAAGGCGGCUCUCUGGGCAGAUACCGACGCUGAGACGCGAAAGCGUGGGAAGCAAACAGG
rnacentral:rRNA from 1 species